rnacentral:rRNA from 2 species
CGAGGACGCUGGCGGCGUGCUUACACAUGCAAGUCGAGCGGUAAGGCCCUUCGGGGUACACGAGCGGCGAACGGGUGAGUAACACGUGGGUGAUCUGCCCUGCACUCUGGGAUAAGCCUGGGAAACUGGGUCUAAUACCGGAUAUGAGCUCCUGUCGCAUGGCGGGGGUUGGAAAGGUUUACUGGUGCAGGAUGGGCCCGCGGCCUAUCAGCUUGUUGGUGGGGUAAUGGCCUACCAAGGCGACGACGGGUAGCCGGCCUGAGAGGGCGACCGGCCACACUGGGACUGAGACACGGCCCAGACUCCUACGGGAGGCAGCAGUGGGGAAUAUUGCACAAUGGGCGAAAGCCUGAUGCAGCGACGCCGCGUGAGGGAUGACGGCCUUCGGGUUGUAAACCUCUUUCAGCAGGGACGAAGCGAAAGUGACGGUACCUGCAGAAGAAGCACCGGCCAACUACGUGCCAGCAGCCGCGGUAAUACGUAGGGUGCGAGCGUUGUCCGGAAUUACUGGGCGUAAAGAGCUCGUAGGCGGUUUGUCGCGUCGUCUGUGAAAACCCGCAGCUCAACUGC